AGCGAACGCUGGCGGCAGGCCUAACACAUGCAAGUCGAACGAACUCUUCGGAGUUAGUGGCGGACGGGUGAGUAACACGUGGGAACGUGCCUUUAGGUUCGGAAUAACUCAGGGAAACUUGUGCUAAUACCGAAUGUGCCCUUCGGGGGAAAGAUUUAUCGCCUUUAGAGCGGCCCGCGUCUGAUUAGCUAGUUGGUGAGGUAAAGGCUCACCAAGGCGACGAUCAGUAGCUGGUCUGAGAGGAUGAUCAGCCACAUUGGGACUGAGACACGGCCCAAACUCCUACGGGAGGCAGCAGUGGGGAAUCUUGCGCAAUGGGCGAAAGCCUGACGCAGCCAUGCCGCGUGAAUGAUGAAGGUCUUAGGAUUGUAAAACUCUUUCACCGGGGACGAUAAUGACGGUACCCGGAGAAGAAGCCCCGGCUAACUUCGUG
rnacentral:rRNA from 1 species